GAAACACCACUGCACAAAAUGCUUUUCCUCCCAGCUGCUGCUCUGUGCUGUCUGUGUUCAGCACUGGUUACCAUGGCAGCAGAACAGGUGAUUCAGGACGAUUUAACAUUGACCAGGAGAGUUGGAGGAAAAGUCUUCUUCAGGAAGAUGCACAUAUUAAACAAAUAUCAUGUCUUUAUCCUGUCUUCCUUCUCUCACCCCAACCAAUCACAGCAGAUGGUCCCGCCCCUCCCUGAGCCUGGUUUUGCCGGAGGUUUCUUCCUGUUAAAAGGGAGUUUUUCCUUCCCACUGUCGCCAAAGUGCUUGCUCAUAGGGGGUCAUAUGAUUGUUGGGUUUUUCUCUGUAUCUACUGUACAAUAUAA
ensembl:lncRNA